GACGAACGCUGGCGGCGUGCUUAACACAUGCAAGUCGAACGGAAAGGCGCUGCUCUUGUGGGUUGCUCGAGUGGCGAACGGGUGAGUAACACGUGAGUAACCUGCCCUUGACUGUGGGAUAACUUCAGGAAACUGGGGCUAAUACCGGAUAGGAGCUCCUGCUGCAUGGUGGGGGUUGGAAAGUUUCGGCGGUUGGGGAUGGACUCGCGGCUUAUCAGCUUGUUGGUGGGGUAGUGGCUUACCAAGGCUUUGACGGGUAGCCGGCCUGGGAGGGUGACCGGCCACAUUGGGCCUGAGGUACGGCCCAGACGCCAACGGGAGGCAGCAGUGGGGAAUAUUGCGCAAUGGGCGGGAGCCAGAUGCAGCGACGCCGCGUGCGGGAUGACGGCCUUCGGGUUGUAAACCGCUUUCGCCUGUGACGAAGCGUGAGUGACGGUAAUGGGUAAAGAAGCACCGGCUAACUACGUG
rnacentral:rRNA from 1 species